rnacentral:tRNA from 2 species
GGGGCUAUAGCUCAGCUGGGAGAGCGCUUGCAUGGCAUGCAAGAGGUCAGCGGUUCGAUCCCGCUU